rnacentral:lncRNA from 1 species
GGAGAUCAUGGUACGCGGUGUUGUUUAUCAAGAAGAAGUGAAAGGGAUUUCCAGGGAGCAAGAUCCCGCAGUGGUCGUCCACUGAUUUGAUGGUGCCGAAGGAGAAGAAAAAGAUGGAAGCUCGAGGGGACAUGCCGGAGACGACGAUGGCUAGUAACGCACCCACUGUGUCAAAGGUAAAUGCUUCGAGUGGAUGGCUAUAGAAGGCAUCGAAUGCGUAGGGAACGACGAGGCGGUGGUGCUGGGAAUGGACGUGGCGGUACAAGAACUUGUUGUGGUGCAUGUAUCUAUGAAGGAAAUUUUGGUAAGUAUCCAAAACCACCAUGGCUACGAUAAAUUGUCUAGCUAUAACAAUGAAGGAAGAUGGCUGCCAUCAUUUCCUCCUGUUACCUGCAGAUGCAUAGAAACAAGUCAAAAUAAAACUCAGGAACAAAGAUUAAAGAAGGAAAAAAGAGAAACCAAUCACUACACAUACCAUGUACAAAAGAAGGGCCGCCGUGACUUGAAGGAAUUGUAUCAGAAGGACGCUUUUGAUGACUGUCUUUUUAGAGACCAAAUUCUUCUCAUCCUCCUCUUGCUUGGGAUGCAAUCUGUAAUUGUCACAAGACCCAAAAGCCAUGUACAUCCCUGAAUAAACCCAAUCCACAACCACCGGCAUGACAGGCCCCAGCAAUUCGUCUGAUAACCGCAAAGCAGCCAUCGCAAGCUACAGAAAAAAUUUGGAAGUAAAACCCCAAAUCACAUGACAAUUGUCGAAACCCCGCUCCCCCUCUUCGUCAAUUUAUAACAACGAAUAUGAGAAAGAGACCCUGAAGGGAGCGAAUUCUUCAAUUAGCAUCAUUAUCUGAUCACAGUACAAUAAAUUAAUAAAACUAUAAGUGUACCCAUUGAAGAGGUGUACCGUAUAAACAAAAUUAAUUGAUACAAAUAGUUUUUAGUUUCGGAUGAAGAUUUGAGAAGCCGGAAGUGGAAAAAAUAAUUGAGAAAGCCCCAGGUGUCACACAUUGCUUGGUUGGAGCUUGGAUAAAUGGAUAGGAAUCCAUCGAAGCUACCGCAGGUCUUUUCAACCAUCCAACCGAGCAAUAUUAUCUUAGAGUUGGAUUCAUUAACGGCGUUCGACAAAAAGAAGAAAUAAAUAAAGAGGGCAUUCAUCUAUAUCCUGGCAAAGUUGAUCUGGGACAAUAACUACUAUAGUACGAUCCCUUUUCAUUCUUAUCUUUUUUAUUUCCUAAAUAAAAUUCGUAUUGGUUGAAAAAAAACAUAGACACAUAUGUAAACCUAUAUAUAUAUAUAUACGAUUUUAUAUAUCUAUAUAUAUAUAUAAAUUAAUUACACUUGACAUAAUAAUAAUUAUCAGUUUUUUAAAUGUUUUAGCUGUUCGAAAAUGCAAUUCUUCAACCACCAUUAGAAAUAAAGAAAGGAGAAAGUGGAUCUCUUUGUUUAACUCUUCAUCCACCACAAUUGAAAUACAUUCACCAAUUCACUUGAUCCAUCGGCUUCCAAAUCCAAUCAUACUCAAUGACAUGAAGGAAAAAAGGUCUCGUGAUUGAGGGAGAAAAAAAUUAAACAAGAAAACAAAGGAUGGUCUCAAUUUUUACUGUUUAAUCAUUCUUGUGUGCUCUUUUAAUCGGUCGUGGUUCAAAGCCACCUUCGGCUGUCUUCUCAAGUGAACAAGGCAUGUAUGUUCCCAUAAUUCUAUCCCACACGACAAAGAAUAGUUGAGAGAAGUCGUAUUUUCCACUAUAUAGAUGAUUUUGGAUAUUAGUGGCGAAAUCAUAAUUCUAUCCCAAUUGCAUGAUUACAUAAUAAAUCAAUAUGCUAGAAGCUCUUCCAAAAUUUUCAUGGUCUUUUCAACAGGCUUAGGACCCAUGAGAUUGCAACUUUCGAAUCCAACAACACCACUAGAGCUUUUUGGCCCAUCCAAGUUGACUUAGAAAAUUACUUCAAUUAAUAUUUUUAUGAUUAAUGGUUGAUUUAGUCAAAAUAUCAUUAGUCAUUUUAUAUAUAUUAUGUGACAUUGAUGUGACGUAUUAAUAUAUUAUAAUAAAAUGUGAUAUUUUAAUUAAUAAUAAUUUAUUAACUAUUAAUUAUAAAAACUUAUUUGAUGCAAAAUAAAAAUAUAAAGACUUAAUUAAACGCAAUAAAAGAAUAAAGACUUAUUUAAAUUAUCUUAAUAAUUCAAAAAAAUUUAACAUUAUAUUUAUAUAUAUAUAUACAAAUUAAUUACAUUUGAUAUAAUAAUAAUUAUCGAUUAUUAGGAUGUUCCGUUGUUACUAUGUUGUGCCAAACGUGGUAUCAUCCAUCAAUAUAUAUUAAUAGAUAUGUGAUCGAUUUAGAUAUAUGUACCAAUAUAUUUGUGAAACUUGAAGAUUAAUUUAUUAAAAUUAAACAAACAAAUAAAAAGUUCGAGAAAAGUCGUAUUUACCAAAAAAAAAAGAAUACACUUAAUAUAAAAUAUUCUCUUUACUUCUCGAUGGUUUUUUCCUUUUUUUACUUUCAUGAAAAUUAAGAUACAAAUUUUUUAUUUCAUAAUUCAUAUUUAUUAUUCUAUUCAUAUAAAUAAUGUACAACAAAUUUCAAAUCAAUUAAAAUUGUAAAGUCAUUUUUUAUCUCAUAACAAUUUUAAUUACUAAUUAUAUGUUUUACGUGAUAAUAUUUUUGAUCAAUAUAAUAUAGAUAUCGUAAUAAUUUGAAUAUUUGCAUGUAAGACAUGUAUGAUUGUAAAACCUAAUAAUUAAUUAUUAAAAUAUUAACUGUAUAAAAAAAUAAAAAGAUGUAAUAAUUAAUAAUUAUUACAUUAGUUUAACUAUAUUCAUUAAUGCCUUUGCCAAAUAAAAUGUCCUUAUCUUCACUAAUCAAAUCAAAUCCUCCAAUUUCCAUUUUUUUUUUCUCAAAAACUAUUCGUUCCUUACUCCCCAUAGUAUCCACAUAGCAACCCCCCAUAUUGUCAUUCCUCUACUUCUCUCUUCCUCAUUAUUUCCUAAAGUCUCCCACUGUUCCAUGAAAAAGGUCACUGCCCUUGGCAUGCACCCUAACAUCCCCCACCAUUUCAUAAUCUCUCCCCAAAAUCUCCAACUCCAAUAUCAUUUAAAACUUCUUUCCAAAAAGUUGCAUUUCCUAAAGACAUUGUUUUACUAAAAGUUUUGGGAUCUUCAUAUACACUUAGUAGAAUUGGUGUUUCAUUUAGUAUAUUAGUUUUAUUUCCUUCAACUAGAAAAACAAUUGAAUAUGAAGAAACAUAAUUAGAAUCUAAAUGUUUCUUUUUUCUCAAUCUUUGACUCUUUCUUGGCUCGAUAGAUUCAUUAAUUUCUUUUCUUUGUUCAUCAAUUAUUGGAGCCAUUUCAACUUGCUUUUCCUUUUCAAAAUUAACAAAAUUGUAAACAAAUUUAUUUUCAAAUAAAUCAACAUGUAUAAGUUCAACUAUAACAUUAGAAUUUAAAUCAAGUAAUUUAUAUGCUUCUGAAUUUUGUGCAUAAACAACAAAAAUACUUUAGAUGCGUCUAGGUCUUAAUUUUGUCGUAUGAAGAUAAGUGACUUUAUAAUAAGCUAUACACCUUCACACUUUAAAAUAAUUCAAGUUUGAUUUUCUGCUUUUAUUCCAUAAUUCAUAUGAUGUCAUAAGUAAUUUUUUAAAAGAAACUCUAUUACUUAUAUGACAUACUGCCAAAAGUGUUUCUCCCCAAAAAUUAAAAGGUGUCUUUGCAUUUAACAAUAUACUAUUUACCUAUUUACCAAUAUUCUAUUUUUUCUUUCGGCAAAUCCAUUAUGUUGGGGUGUAUAAUAAGUUGUUUUUUGAUGAAUUAUUCUAUUCUCUUUACAAAAUACAGAAAACGAAUCUAGAAAAUAUUUUCCUUCUCUAUCAUUUCAAAGAAUUUUAAUAUUUUUUUUAUUUUCAACAACAGUUUUAAAUUCCUUGAAUUUGUCCAAUGCUUCAUCUUUUGUUUUCAUUAAAUAAACAUGAGUGAAGUGAGAAAAAUAAUCCAUGAGCAUUAUAAAAUACCUUUUCCCUCCUCUUAUUAGUAAACCAUUUGGUUCACAAAUAUCAUAAUGUACAAGUUAUAAUAAUUCUAAUUUUCUUUAGCUUUUGGAGAGGUUUCUUAGUAAUUUUUGCUUCAACACAAAUUUCACAUUUUUCAAAAUUAUCUUUUUGACAUGAAAUAUAACUAUCUAUAUCAUUAAAUUUAAAAAUUGAAAAUUUAAAUGACCUAGUUUAGCAUGCCAUAAAUAAGAAAAAGCUCAACAAUAUAAGCAAAAUAAUUAUUCAUUUCAUUGAUAUUGAGUUUGAACAUUAUGUCAUAGUAAUAUCCUUUUCCAACAAAUACAACAUUUUCGUUACUACAACUUUAUCGAAUUUUAGUAUAAUCCUAAAACCAUUCUUACACAAUAGAUGUGCUGAUACAAGAUUUUUUUCUAAUUUUAAAAUAUGAAAAGUAAAGUUAAUUUUUGCUCUACGGUAAAUUUUAACUCAACCUUUUCUUUGCCAAGUACCUUUUGGUCUCUUAAGUUCUUUAUAACUCUUGAAUUGUCUUUUGUCAUUGGAAACAUGAAUAUUGGCAUUGAAAUCUAGCCACAAUUCUGAACGUUUUGUUACAAUAGUCAUAUGUGUUUCGGUAACCAUUCCAAUACGUAUUUCAAUUACCAUCACGUUCAAUAAAGUUUACCUUGUUUCUAAAACUAAAAGCAACAAGAUUUUCAGAAUUUUUGAACUUGCACUUCUUGAUAACAUGUCAUUUCUUUCCACAACGAUAACACAUUUUAUCUCUCUUAAAUUUCUUGGAUUCUUGAAGUAAUUUUUUUGGACUUUAUUUUUUUUUUAUUUUCUAGAACCUUUUUCUUUUUCACUGAUGAGGUUUACAUUUGAUCCAAGAAUGAGUGCAUCUUUAACACAAUUUUUUACCUCAAUAUGCAAACGAGUUUAAAACUCUUCAAUAGUAAGACUUUUCAGAGAAUACAAAAUUUUCUUCCUAUAUCCAUUCCAAGAAUGUGAAAGUUUGGACAGAAUUGCUCCCAUUUGAAGUGAGUUAGGAAUUUUGAUUUUUAGUUCACUUAAUUUAAAGGCCAAAAUUUAUAACUCAUGUACUUGAUCCAUAAUUGGUUCGGUAUCCGUCAUGGUAAACUCGAAGUAUCUCAAUGCAAGAAAUUUAUCCAUAGAUUUUUUCUCCUUUUUGUAUGUUUCCUCAAGUGUAGUCCAGAUCCUUUACUGAAGUUUUAUGUCUGAAGAGAUCAUAAAAUCAAUUAGUGAGAGAAUUGAAAAUAUAUCCAUGACAUAUAAACUCGUCAUGUUUUCGUUUUUUCAUAUUAACUGGUUACAGCAACAGUUGUUGUUGCAACAAUAUUUUCAAAAGGUGUUGCCUCUGCUGAUGUGAUCUCUUUUGGAUUUGAUGGUCAGUCCAUCUCAAGAACAUAAUGAAUCUUCAUGUGGUUAACAGAAAUACUAUCUUAUCCCUACAUUUAGUGAAAUUCGUUCUAUUGAAUUUGUCAAAUUUGAUCACUUCCUGAUUUUGGAAGUGAACGUUCACAUUUGAAUCCAGUCCAAUCUCCAUCACGAAACAAUUGUGAAAAAGGUUUUGAGAAUAUACCUUAAGAUUGUUAGAAAUAUUUGAAAAGAAAGAAGAAAUUUUUAGAAAAAAGAAGAGUAUGGCUUUGAAGACAAGAAUUAACACUUUCUUUAAAGUAUUUUCUAAACUUGCAAUAUAUAACAAAAUCCUUAACAUACUUAUCAGAAUAGUGAAAAUAAUAGUAUAAUAACACUGUUUAUAUAAUAAGCCAGCGUAUACCUCUUUCAAUAUAAAAACUUGUUUCCUUUCAUAAUAUAACUCUUCAAAUAAUAAUUUUCGUUCAUAAUCUAACUACUCAAAAAUUAUAAUUAAUAAGAUAACUUUUUCCGAAUUCUUCAAUCAUAACUUUUCAUCAAUAACAGUUUUCAUAAAUAAUUUUUUAUUAUUUAAUUUAAAAAAUUAAAAUAAUAAAAUGAAUUAUUUAUUAAUAUUUUAAUUCAAGAGUCCAAAUACCAAUAUUAACAAAAAUAUCUAACACACAAGCCAAUAGUCUUGACCAAGUCACUUUUUCUGUUCUAACGCACGAAAAUGUUUAUUUUAUUUUUUCAUGUUUUGCAAUUAGUAUCAAAAGAAAGGUGUUUUUCCUCCUCGCAAUUAUUUCAUUUUAAUUUAGCUUCAGUUGAAUGUUUGUGAGAUUUUUAACACAUGUGGCAUAUGUUUAAUUUUAACACAUGUGGCAUAUGUUUGUUCCACUAGUAAUUAAUGAUGGGGAUAGGGUGUGGUUUUGAUCAAUUUGGAGAUUAUAGCUAUUCUUUCUUACGAAAGUGUGCAGGGUUUUCAGGACUAGGAGCUAUCAUUCAGUGAUAGUAAUGUCUUGUGCACUUGGUGUGUUAACGAGGAGACAGGUCAUGCCAUCAUAAUUGAAGGACAUGGUGCUUGAUUUUCAAAUGGUGGAAUCUUCCUUGGGUAACCCUACGUAAGGUAGGGAAGUUUAUCCAGGGGUGGGAUGGUAAUUGUCAUAGAGACUGUUCAAAAAAUUAGUGGAUGGUCAUUUUUGGUGUAAUUUUUUGGUUGAGAAUGUAUUUUUUGAGUUUAAAUUUAAUGUGAAUGAGUCGACAAAAGAAAAGUUGGAUCCAAUGAAUUAUGUGUAUUACAAAAUUUUCGUGGACAUGUUCAUGGAGUGUUUCAUAUGUGACUAGUUUGGAGUCAAAGAUUCUAAUAAUGUUGAAAUUAUGAUAAUCUUUUAUACAGUUAAAUUAUUCUCAACCUCAACAUGGGUUGACUUACACAAACUCAUCAUUGAAUCGGAUUUCAAUGUAGCCAUUGCUUGGACAAAAGAGAUUACCUCAAGACCUUGGAAUCUUUGACAGUGUUUUAAUGAAAUUUAUGCUUUGUGUAACGUGAUCGGUGACAUUUUCUUCCCCCAAACAUACAGCGAAGCCAAUUGAAUGGCUGAUGUUUUAGCUAAAUUUGGUGUUCACCGGAGUGAGAUGUUCUCUAUCCAGAGUGGUGAACUUUUAGCUUCUCUCUCCCCCGUCGGGUAUAUCUCCUUGCUCCUGGUGUUUAGUGCGUUAUGGAUUUGUUGAACACGUGAAGGUUGGCUGCAAAUGUAAUGAUGUGUUUCACUGGCCGCUGAGUGGGCGGUUAUGCCUUAAUUGGUGAAUUGAAUGGGGAGUCGCUAUCAGAUAUUGGAAUGUACGCCCCAUCUGUUUGGGUCUGUUGACAUUGUUGUGUUGCUUUUGAAGUCUAGUUUAUUAUACGAUGUAAUGGGACGAGGUUGUUAGGGGCAAGGCAUCAAUGUCCUAAUGCUGUUUAUAUUUGAUUGCUGUAUUGUAAGGUGUUAGCUCUAGACUGACGCUAUCUGGUUUCAGGUCUCCUGACCAUUUUUGAUGUUCUUCCUCGGCUCCGCCAAGCUGUUUUGUAUCAGACUAAUUUGAUACCAAGGUACAUGAAAAUUGAAAACUUCGUAAAAAUUUCAAGACAGCAUAUUUCCUUCACAAGCCCAAUUUAGGAGAAAAGGCCUUCCAGGUCACAAUUGGGUGAUCCAAUUACGAAAAGACUUAUGAAUAUCCUCAUUCGUUUCAUUGACAAAAAUAAAUAACAAUAUAUUAAUCGAGCACAAUCAUAAUCUCUGCAUAUAUAUUCUGUUUGAGAAAUUAGAUUCGAAUCAUCCAAAACCAGCAUGGCUACGACGAGUUGUCUAAAUAUAUCAAUGAAGGAAGAUGGCUGCCCUGCAGACCAAAACAAUGUGGGCAACAUAAGUAAUUAUAAAUAUCAUUUCAGUCUGUGUUAAUAAAUAUCCGGAUAGUAAGAUAUAGAUAAUUUUAGAGUUUAUAAAAAAAAUAACGAAUUUAUUUCGUGAAAAAUGAAAAUGUCAGUACAAGAAUUUAUUUACAGAAAAAUAUCUAUCAAUAAAAAUAUUACCAAGUGUCCAAAAUCAAUUAUGUCCUGUAAGUUGCAAUAACUACAAGGAAAAUGUUUGACUUUAGAAUUUUAUGUUUAUACUUAUACACGAAGAUAUAAAUCCUCAUUAAAUAUAAUGAAUAUUUUUUUAUUCAUACUCAUUCUCUCAAAAAUCAUAUAUAUAUAUAUAUAUAUAUAUAUAUAUGUAUNCAUAUAUAUAUAUAUAUAUAUAUAUAUAUAUAUGUAUAUAGAAAUUUUUUAUGACAUCGACAUUUAUUCUCAAUGUCUUUUUUAUACAACUCAUGAACAUGCAGUGAGAAUAAAUGUGAGUAUAUGUAAACUGCAUGGUUUUGUGUACUAAAUACUUGUAAUAAUUUAGACUAAUUAUCCUUGCAGGUUUUACCAGGCCGCAAUUGGAAGCCCCCUCCUCUUUUCUCAAGUGAAUAAGGCAUGUACGUCCCCAAAAUCCUAUCCCACAUGACGAAGAACGGUUGCGAGAAGUUGUAUUUGCCACCGUAAAGCUGGUGGUGGAGAUCAUGGAACGCGGUGUUGUUUCUGAAGAAGAAGUGAAAGGGAUUUCCCGGGAGCAAGAUCCCGCAGUGGUCGUCCACUGAUUUGAUGGUGCCGAAGGAGAAGAAAAAGAUGGAAGCUCGAGGGGACAUGCCGGAGACGACGAAGGCUAAUGCCCCACCCACUGUGUCAAAGAUAAACGCUUCGAGUGGAUGGUUAUAGAUGGCACCGAAUGUGUAGGGAACGACGAGGCGGUGGUGCCGGGAAUGGAGGUGGCGGUACAAGAACUUGUUGUGGUGUAUGUAUCUAUGAAGAAAAUAUUGGUAAGUAUCCAAAACCACCAUGGCUACGAUAAAUUGUCUGGCUAUGACAAUGAAGGAAGAUG